rnacentral:rRNA from 1 species
UGGGGAAUAUUGGACAAUGGGCGAAAGCCUGAUCCAGCCAUGCCGCGUGAGUGACGAAGGCCUUAGGGUUGUAAAACUCUUUCGUCGGGGACGAUAAUGACGGUACCCGAAGAAGAAGCUCCGGCUAACUUCGUGCCAGCAGCCGCGGUAAUACGAAGGGAGCUAGCGUUGUUCGGAAUCACUGGGCGUAAAGCGCACGUAGGCGGAUAGUUAAGUCAGGGGUGAAAUCCUGGGGCUCAACCCCAGAACUGCCUUUGAUACUGGCUGUCUCGAGGUCGAGAGAGGUUGGUGGAAUUCCUAGUGUAGAGGUGAAAUUCGUAGAUAUUAGGAAGAACACCAGUGGCGAAGGCGGCCAACUGGCUCGAUACUGACGCUGAGGUGCGAAAGCGUGGGGAGCAAACAGGAUUAGAUACCCUCGUAGUCCCUGAGCGGGCUGGCAAGGC